ACUCUGUGAAGAGGUUGCGCGUACUAAGUCAUCUUGUGGAAAUAGCCAAAUAUUUGCGAAACAAGAUUAGAGAGUCUGCGCCGAAAUAAAAAAAUAGUUUGGUCUAUUUUUUGUUGGCUCUAAUAAUCAAAGUUAUUAGAUCUGUCACGUUAAAUACUUUAAGUGAAUUAACGUGGAGCGCUUCAGGUCAA
rnacentral:ncRNA from 2 species